ACAAAGACCCCUUCUACACUACCAUACAAAAUCCAGAUUAUCUGUUUUGAACUGGUUUAUAUGGCAGUGUAGACUCAGGGCCCUUUCACACAGCCAUAUAACCCAGAAUAUCAGGGCAGAUAAUUCACAAUAUCUGCUUUGAACUGGGUUAUCUGAGUCUACACUGUUCAAUGCGGAUUUUAUACAGUUGUGUGGAAGGAGCCUCAUAUAAUCCACCUCAAAGCAGAUGUGGAUUAUCUGCUUUGAAUUAUCAUAUAAUCCAGUUCAAAGAAGGUAAUCUGGAUUUUAUACAGCAGUGUAGAAGGGGCCUCUAGAGGUAAAUAGCUUAUCCUAGAAUGCUGAUGAGCCGUGCAAGUCCCAUGAUGAGAGGAGUAUACCAGGUUAUUGGUGUAUGUGCAAUAAAAAGCACAAACAAUAGACCUUAUCUCGGUGUGAGGAAAGUUAAAGUUACAAGGAAUUUAAGAAGCCUUUAAGAAGAUCUACACUGCCCUAUACCCCGGGGUCUGAUUCCAGAUUAUUUGCUUUGAACUGGAUUAUAUGAGUCUACACUGCCAGAUAAUCUGGGAUAAGAAGAUAAUCAGGCAGUGUAGAUCCAGCCUUAGAGAUGUGUGAUGGACCAAAAGAUGAAACUAUGAACUUCACAUAUGUAUAUGAAAUAGCUGGGAAAACAUUUGGCACUAGGUAGGUAAUAAUGAUAUAAUUUAAAUUAUCCAAUAGAAUGUUUGGUUUGAGUAAAAGAGGAAGUCAUUCUGCCCAGCCAGUAUGUGAAUUUAUUUCUUGUCACAAGCAGCUACAUUCUACGUAUCUCCCAAGAUCAAAUCUCUUACAUUCACCAUUUAUACAUGUUAUCUAAGAAGCUACCUUUUCAGCUUUAGUCUGUGUGGACACAUAUUAGGAAAAUUUAUAAUUCUCUGACAAAAAUAUCUGUGUGAAAGUUCACAGUUCCAGGCUAAUACUGUUGAGCCAUGCUUAAUUACUUGGCUUUGAUAGUGUACCGUAAUUCUUUCAAUUCUGCUUUAAAUGCCAUGUUCUUUUAUUAUCCUUUGUUUUUUUAAAAAAAAUGAAAUUUGAAAAGCAACAAAAAUCAACUUUUAAAAAAGCAACUUGUUAGAUGUCAAUUCUUUUUAGAUGAAAACAAUUAGCAGUGACAUUUGAUAUAUCUUAAAGGUCUCCGAGCUGAAUCAUACGGAACUGUUUACUCAAUUAAUAUUUUAUUUUGCAACUUUUACCAUCAGGACAAUAUGAUUCCCGAAAUGCAUCAAUUAUUUAACUGUAUAAAGCAAUGUAGAUUUGUCAGCCAAAAUAGUUUGGAAUAAAGGCUGCCAAAAUGAGACCCUUGUCUUUAGGAGAUAGAAUAUUUCUAGGUUAUCUUUCUCAUGAUGUACCAAUAAUUUCCUCAUCUUUUCCCUUGAAAGGCUGUAACAUGCUUGUUUGAAACAUGUUUUCAUACUUUGUUUUAAAAACAGCAAAGACAUGUAAAAAGAGGACAGUUCUUU
rnacentral:lncRNA from 1 species